GGCAGACAGUUGACCGCGCCGCCGACGCACAGCACCAGCAGCACCGCGGCCGCAGGGCGACAGGACAUCUUUCACCUCUGGAGGGACGGUGUUUUCAGGUGCUCCCUUGCUGCGAAAAUACGAGCAGUGGGCCGCUGCAGUGGCCGGGGACCAACUCCAGUUCUUCUUUCCAUUGCCUUGCUCAGGGGCACAGACAGGAGUAUUAACCCUGACAUGCAUGUCUUUUUGAUGGUGGGAGGAAACCAGAGCAUCCAGAGGAAACCCACGCAGACACGGGGAGAACAUGCAAACUCCACACAGAAAGGACCUGAGACCGCCUGGGCUUCGAACCCCAGGACCUUCUUGCUGUGAGGCAACAGUGCUAACCAGACCAAUGAACAUCGAGUUCUGAGAAAGACAACUGAGGACAUGCGCAAACCCUGCAGACU